rnacentral:rRNA from 2 species
AAAUUGAAGAGUUUGAUCAUGGCUCAGAUUGAACGCUGGCGGCAGGCCUAACACAUGCAAGUCGAACGGUAACAGGAAGCAGCUUGCUGUUUCGCUGACGAGUGGCGGACGGGUGAGUAAUGUCUGGGAAACUGCCUGAUGGAGGGGGAUAACUACUGGAAACGGUAGCUAAUACCGCAUAACGUCGCAAGACCAAAGAGGGGGACCUUCGGGCCUCUUGCCAUCGGAUGUGCCCAGAUGGGAUUAGCUAGUAGGUGGGGUAACGGCUCACCUAGGCGACGAUCCCUAGCUGGUCUGAGAGGAUGACCAGCCACACUGGAACUGAGACACGGUCCAGACUCCUACGGGAGGCAGCAGUGGGGAAUAUUGCACAAUGGGCGCAAGCCUGAUGCAGCCAUGCCGCGUGUAUGAAGAAGGCCUUCGGGUUGUAAAGUACUUUCAGCGGGGAGGAAGGGAGUAAAGUUAAUACCUUUACUCAUUGACGUUACCCGCAGAAGAAGCACCGGCUAACUCCGUGCCAGCAGCCGCGGUAAUACGGAGGGUGCAAGCGUUAAUCGGAAUUACUGGGCGUAAAGCGCACGCAGGCGGUUUGUUAAGUCAGAUGUGAAAUCCCCGGGCUCAACCUGGGAACUGCAUCUGAUACUGGCAAGCUUGAGUCUCGUAGAGGGGGGUAGAAUUCCAGGUGUAGCGGUGAAAUGCGUAGAGAUCUGGAGGAAUACCGGUGGCGAAGGCGGCCCCCUGGACGAAGAC